ensembl:lncRNA
AACUUUCUAGGCGCGAUUGUGGCCACAACUUGGACCUUCUAAGAACAGUGCUGCGUCGUGACGCUCUGCUACCAGGCUGAUCCGCUCGGGGUUUGUCCGGAAAUGGCGGACGCAGGGGUCUGUGCCUGGCAAGCUGCAACAAGGAUCAGAACAAAGAUUUGGAGGUGUAAGCAGCAUGCUCACUCCCCUGCACAGCCACAGCAGGAGUCCUCACUGAGAUCAGAUCUCAUUCUCACAAGCUUAGGCUUCCUCAGCAGUGGAAAGGAGCCAAACAGCUGAUCCAAAGCCCACAGAAUAUUUUAGGAAUGUUCCAAAAUGAUCUUAAUUUCUACAGAGAGGAAAAGAUAAUGUGCCACUGGACAAGCAUCAGCUAAGGAGAAAUGAGGGUCCAACGAUGAAGAUCCUAAGAAGAUAAUGUCUUUUCCACAAAUUUGGCUCAUGCAUCCUGCCUACGUAGAUUGUGCGUGUGUGUUAGGCCACAGGUAUUUUGAAAAUCUGGUCUGGAAAACACAUGCCUCUGAAGGGAGAGUGCUUCAUGGUCAUCAGAUGUUAUUAAGAUCAUCACAAUCUAGACAAGUCAAAAUUAAAAACACUGUGUUAAUACAGUGAGGACUUAAGUAUCUGAUUGUAAAAUGGGAAACUGUUCUAAGGAGCACAUACCGAAGAAAAGACUACAUUUUGAAAUGUCUGAGGUAAAUCACUACGACUUAGCAUAUAGGAUUCCUCAUAAUAAUUGUAGUUUCCCAGAACCGACUCAGUCUGAGCUAGCAUUAUUCUAAUCAAUGUUGGAAGUUAUUAGAAUGAUAUUGAAUAAUAAUUAGUGCUCAAGGAAUUCCUGUGCCUUCAAGCUUUUUGUCAUUCCUUAUUAGAUUAGAAAACACUCUUGCUCAAAUCCGGAGUGUGAGAAACAUAAGGAACUUACUAAUUAGAAAAUGACAUGUGUUUUAGGCAUCAUAUUUGUGUGAAGUUUCAAGGUUCUUGGUGGUUACUCUUAUCAUAGGCUUCAGCUACCCUUCUUAUGGUUAUUAUUUUUAUUUAAAGACCAUAAGAGCAGCAAGGGAAAUCCAUGUGCUUUCAGACUGUGGCAACAUCUAGUUCUAACUUGUGCCAUCUCUCUGAUGACCUACUCUCAUAUUUAAGCAGCGAUCUGAUAUACCCAAACAGACAGCUACUGAAGUUGCAGAAUAAAUAAAUAUAUAAAUAAAAGUUAACAUUCUUGUUCAGUGCAGUAGGCUUCCUUAGCAAUGCAGAGGCAUACAUUGGCUUUUCAGUGGGAUUUGUCACGUCUUGCAUAUUUGUGCUUUCAAGGAUACAUGAAGGAGUGAUAAAAAAUCCCAUCCUUCCUCUUGGCCUUCAGUGUAAAAACCUCCCUGUAGGGAGAUUUGUUGAUUUCUUUUUCAUAAGUUUAUUCAUUGUAAAUUCAUAUGGAUGUUCUUGCUUUGUAGAAAGAGCUUUGCUGUAUGGUAAUUUUAUAUUGCAUGUAUUUGUUUUGGAAGUGACUUUGCACAACCAGUCAUUAGAUUUUCCAGGUUUAUAUUCAUUUCUGUUCUUGUAGGAUGUUGCCCAAUACCUAAGCAUCACUAAAGCUGUGUGUUAAAUCAUACUUUUAUUUGCCACAGGCCUGAUUCAAUAUCUCUGUAUGCUGUAUUGACUCACUGCAGGAUGUUUGGAAGAAAAGACUUACACUAUAGUGCUUCACAGUAACAAAUAGUUCAAAAAGCUUUACAUGAACUUGAUAGUAUCCAAGAUUUGUGACAAUUUUUUCUAUAAAACAUCAGAUACUAUGCAUAUAUCAAUCCAACCUGAGUGACUGGGAAAAGGCAAAUUUCUCUAUUAUCACAGUUGCCCCUAAAUAAACUCAAACUGCU